CAGUCGCCGCGGUAAUACGUAGGUAGCAAGCGUUGUCCGGAAUUAUUGGGCGUAAAGGGCUCGCAGGCGGUUUCUUAAGUCUGAUGUGAAAGCCCCCGGCUCAACCGGGGAGGGUCAUUGGAAACUGGGAAACUUGAGUGCAGAAGAGGAGAGUGGAAUUCCACGUGUAGCGGUGAAAUGCGUAGAGAUGUGGAGGAACACCAGUGGCGAAGGCGACUCUCUGGUCUGUAACUGACGCUGAGGAGCGAAAGCGUGGGGAGCGAACAGGAUUAGAUACCCCGGUAGUCCCUGUCUCUUAUAC
rnacentral:rRNA from 1 species